GUAAAUGACAAAAAUGAUAAGAGUCUAAAGGUUUUAGGUCAAAUUUAUGCAUGAAAUCUGGAAAUCGGAUGUUCUUUAGCCAUGUUUGUGCAACUAGUGUUAUUGGUGCACAUCCCAUGCAUGUCUUCACAGCCAAACAUGGUCAAUAGAUUGUUGUAGUUUGUCUCAUCAGCACACUCAGGCCUUUCUGAAACCAGUGCAAUCUUUUUUGGCAAAUUGUCAUUUUACUUUCUAUUCCGCUAUUCAGAGAAUUCAAAGCAUCGCGACCAACCACAUCAGAUCAAGAUUGAAAGAUUAUUCAAAUCUGCCUCAAGACCAUCGAUUUUGCUUGUCUGUUUUUAAACGCUUACAGUGCAAAAUGUCUGAUUCCAAGAAAGAAGCAAACGGCUUUUUUUUGUGUGUGUGGGCUGCCUGGCUUUGUCUGUGUGCGUAUGUAUAUAUAAAUACGCUACGAGCAAAGGAUACAAUCACUUCAGUUAGGAUCAAGCACCAGAGGAGACCUUCCUCCUGCUAAGUUAAACUUAACCUAGCUUUACGUUUCCAGCCAAGAUGAAGACUGUGUUUGUGCUUCUCGCUGUUGCUGUUUCAUGUGUUUUUGCCAAAUCCAGAACAGAGCUCAGAGAAAUUAAGGCUUCGAUAGAGAGAGUCAAGAACAACCUGCCUAAGGUAAGAUGCAUUAUGUUUAUUGCUUCUUUUUUGGAGUCAAAUUGUAAAAUACAGUGCCUAGAACUUGAUUACAAAUAUUUGUUUUUUGUUCUUGAACUAGACACACGUUGUAUUUGUGAUUGAACCUAAGCACAUAAAUUGUACGGAUACAUUUUUCUGUCAAGUUCAGAAAAUCCUGUCUGGAAACAACGGUGUUUCCAAGCUUCCUAAUUUCUCGGAUGUUGACAUCUUGAUCAGAAAGUUGAAAGCAUAUAACAAGCACCCUGUGGAAAACUGCACCAUCGAAACCACUGGAGAGGAAAUCGGGCUAUUUCAGUUUCUGGACGGCGUGAAGACAUAUGUACAAAAAGCCAUCGCAAAGUCCAGAUGAACAGAGCUCUUCUUUGAGAUGUUUUUUUUUAUUUCUAAUUUAUGAAAGGACAUAUUUAAAUUGACUUGGAUGCCCCUAUCAGAUGCAUUUGUAUUUAUUUUGUCCUUGUGAUGCUUUAUUUUGGCAAUAAAUAAAUUGUAAAAAAAA